rnacentral:rRNA from 1 species
GGGAAACAGGUGCUAAUACCCGGAUAAGAAAGCAGAUCGCAUGAUCAGCUUUUAAAGGCGGGCGUAAAGCUGUCGCUAUGGGGAUGGGCCCCCGCGGUGCAUUAGCUAGUUGGUAAGGUAAGGCUUACAAGGGCGAUGAUGCAUAGCCGAGUUGAGAGACUGAUCGGGCCACAUUGGGACUGAGACACGGCCCAAAACUCUACGGGAGGCAGCAGUAGGAAUCUUCCACAAUGGACGCAAGUCUGAUGGAGCAACGCCGCGUGAGUGAAGAAGGUUUUCGGAUCGUAAAAGCUCUGUUGUUGGUGAAGAAGGAUAGAGGUAGUAACUGGCCUUUAUUUGACGGUAAUCAACCAGAAGUCACGGCUAACUACGUGCCAGCAGCCGCGGUAAU